GCUCAGGACGAACGCUGGCGGCGUGCCUAAUACAUGCAAGUCGAGCGAAUCGAUGGGAGCUUGCUCCCUGAGAUUAGCGGCGGACGGGUGAGUAACACGUGGGCAACCUGCCUAUAAGACUGGGAUAACUUCGGGAAACCGGAGCUAAUACCGGAUACGUUCUUUUCUCGCAUGAGAGAAGAUGGAAAGACGGUUUACGCUGUCACUUAUAGAUGGGCCCGCGGCGCAUUAGCUAGUUGGUGAGGUAAUGGCUCACCAAGGCGACGAUGCGUAGCCGACCUGAGAGGGUGAUCGGCCACACUGGGACUGAGACACGGCCCAGACUCCUACGGGAGGCAGCAGUAGGGAAUCUUCCGCAAUGGACGAAAGUCUGACGGAGCAACGCCGCGUGAACGAAGAAGGCCUUCGGGUCGUAAAGUUCUGUUGUUAGGGAAGAACAAGUACCAGAGUAACUGCUGGUACCUUGACGGUACCUAACCAGAAAGCCACGGCUAACUACGUGCCAGC
rnacentral:rRNA from 2 species